rnacentral:rRNA from 1 species
AUUGAACGCUGGCGGCAUGCUUUACACAUGCAAGUCGAACGGCAGCGCGGGCUUCGGCCUGGCGGCGAGUGGCGAACGGGUGAGUAAUACAUCGGAACGUGCCCAGUAGAGGGGGAUAGCUCGGCGAAAGCCGGAUUAAUACCGCAUACGACCUGAGGGUGAAAGCGGGGGAUCUUCGGACCUCGCGCGAUUGGAGCGGCCGAUGGCAGAUUAGCUAGUUGGUGGGGUAAGGGCCUACCAAGGCGACGAUCCGUAGCUGGUCUGAGAGGACGACCAGCCACACUGGAACUGAGACACGGCCCAGACUCCUACGGGAGGCAGCAGUGGGGAAUUUUGGACAAUGGGCGAAAGCCUGAUCCAGCAAUGCCGCGUGUGUGAUGAAGGCCUUCGGGUUGUAAAGCACUUUUGGCGGGAACGAAAAGGACUGUGCCAAUACCACGGUUCGAUGACGGUACCCGCAGAAUAAGCACCGGCUAACUACGUG